UCUGCUCUAAUCGUCUAAUGUUCUUUUUUUUUUUUCAGGUUUUCAUGGUCAUGGCUCUCAUAGUUCCAACAUUUCCAUGCCAGCCCCUGCUCAACUUGGUGGCUGGAAAGAGGAAGAAGAGGAUGAAGACGAUCAGGAGAUUAACAGUGGAUCUUCUCCAAAAAAGGCCACACCACGCAGUUCAUAGGGUGCCUUUGUCAUAAGUGUUUACAUUUUUCUUUCUUCGCUAAACAUUGUGGCCUUAAAUGACCUUCAUGGAGAGUUUAGCGCAGACCUUUAAAACAUCAUGUAGUGGGAGGGGUCUGCCGAUGAAUAACCACUGUUUUCGCACCUCUACACCUCAUCGUGUCAUAUCAGGGAGUCUAUGGCAUCAGGGAUUCCAUAUGUCUUCCAUCCUUUUUAUCAUGGUUUUGUCAUUAACUUGUACAAAGUUCAUUUGGACGUGUAGAGUCUGCGUGAUAUUGGAUGUAAGCAAUUUUAUGGUGACGUUAAAAAAAAAGCUCAUAACUUUGGCUGUUCUUGUGUCUGCACACAUUCUCCAAAUACUUGUGCAUCACAAGGGUUUUCAGAAUGGCGUGAACAUCUAUGCUACAACUUGACCAUCUGAAAAGUAAAACAUUUCAAUAUGUUUUUUUUUUGUUUUUUUUACCCUUGUGACAUGUAAAUAGACUGUGUAUUACUCAUCCUUUAAUAGGUCAUUUCUUUUUUCUUUUUUUUUUCCAACAAAUACCAGAUCAAUUUACUAAAGAGCUGCCAAGUAUUUAUUUAUUGAAAAGCUGACUACAAUACCUUUAAUAUCUGAAUACAAAACAUCUACAGACUUCAUCGACAUAUAAUUUCAUGCUGUUUUCCAUGGUUAAUGGGCCUAAAUCCACAUUUUGCUUAGUAUUACUAGUUCAGGUGUUUUAAGACUUUUGUUUUUUCUUAUGAAAUGAGCAUUAAGUAUUCCUGCAAUUAAAAUCCCAUGGCAGACAGGUGAUGCCUGUUAGGUCAGCUUAUUGCUUAUUUAUAUGCUAAAACAAGUAUCUAAAAAACAGUUUUCUGUAUUACCUCAGUGGCAGUGAUGAAUUUAGGCUACAGUCAAUAUCUCUGCACAAAUGCAUCAACUGCAUUCAGAAUUUAAUUGCAUAUAUAAAUUGUAAUAAUUAGAUUUUCUUUCUAUAUUUACCAAGCAGAUAAGAUGAGCUUUAAUAUUUUUUUAAAUAAUUGGGGCAUUUUGCUUUUUGCAAAUCUGUGUUAGGUAAAUUUUUUAUUAAUGUUUGGUCUUCCCGGAGUUGUUGCAUAAAUAUGGAAUGUCAUCAAAGGGGCUGGUUUUUAAUCUUUUAUUGUGUUGUUUACAGAUGCUCUCCAAUAUUGCUGUUUCAAAGUACAGUCUCAAAAAAAAAAAACUGGCAACCCCAGGUAUUGGCUAUUUAAAAGAAAAAAAAAAAAA